UACAGAGGGGGCAAGCGUUAUUCGGAAUUAUUGGGCGUAAAGGGCGCGUAGGCGGCUUGGCAAGUGGAUGGUGAAAUCCCUCGGCUUAACCGAGGAACUGCCAUCCAGACUGCUUUGCUUGAGGCCGGGAGAGGUAAGUGGAAUUCCCAGUGUAGCGGUGAAAAUGCGUAGAUAUUGGGGAGGAACACCAGUGGCGAAGGCGGCAUCCUGGACCGGCAUUGACGCUGAGGGCGCGAAAAGCUAGGGGGAGCAAACGGG
rnacentral:rRNA from 1 species